CCAAACAAGUGCUUUCACAGGUUUGCCUUCUGGACGACAAAGUGUUGCAACAACUCUGAGUGAACAGUCAUAUAAACAGUCAAAUGAAAUUAAUUCAGUGUGAGAUUUAGCAAGUGCCGCAAAGAUUCUUAAAGAGCUUUUUUUUUUCUAUUUACCCAUGUUUUUGUAUCUCAGUGACUUACGACAACAACAAUUUUUUUUUAAUUGGUCCAGUACUGAGCGGUAGCGCUUAAACGGGCUGUAAUGUUACCACUCGGGGGGCAUGUUUGCACUCUCAAUAUAUGUUCACUUUAAAUGCUUGUUUUUUGCCACUAGAGUUGGGCGAUCUUGUCCAUAUCCUAUCGUCCUAUCGCCAUCUAGUGAAAUCGCCGAUGAAUGAUGUCAUCGUCAUUCUCCUGACAUUGUGUUGUUUGGUUUGUUCACCGCUCUGUGACAUGCGCGUUAGUGUCGAGCGGGCGGAGGCGUUGAUCUCACAUCCGUCCCCCGACCCUCCGCUCUCUCAGUAAGCAGCCUCCCUCUGUCUCCUCUCACUCAGCCUCGUUCAGCCUUGAUCUUGUCAGCAUGCGCCACACACGCGCUGGAUCGGAUCACCCAUCGGCACAACCCUAUUUGCCACUAUCAUUUUUAUCAGUAGCAAAAACAUGCACUCGAAGUGGACGUAAACUGACGGUGCAUAAUUUCCCCAAAUGGUUACACUGCAGCCUGUUAGGUGGCUGCGGCACUCUGGCUCAAUGCUGGACCAAGUUAAAUUGUUUCCAUUCGUCAUGUAGAGACAGCAAGACUGGAAAUAGGGUCCAGGUUGAGAAAUACAGUUGAUGCAUUUUUGGCAGACUUUUUUUAAACCACAAACAAUUCUAUGCAUCAUUUCUAAUAUUAAUGUAAUGUAAACCCACAUUCCCCUUGAUACAAGGGCUGAAUGAUUUUCAGAACACAAUUUUCAAAUAAAGAAAAGCUCCAAUUUUAAUGCGACACAAUCUAGCCACAUGCACACACGCUGCCCUACGCUCCACAUGACAAAUGUGAAUAAGCGCAGAUAAAGAAAACAACUUGUGAAAUGCAAUGCGAGCAUCGAUACUUGCAGCACUACAGUGUGAAAACAGCCAAAGCCGGGUUGAAGUGCAAUCCAGAUGUUUACAUAUUCCGUUGUGAUAACAGUAGCGUUGUGUGUGUGUGUGUAAAGCAAGUGUGUGUGGUUGAGUGAUUAAGAGAGAGUGACGCAGGAUGCGCUAAGAGUGCACAGGUGUCUGCCAUCACAACAGAGAAGAAAUUAGCAGUAAAGUUGUCAACUGGAGUGAGACAGGUCAGACCUUUGAGGCUUUACGUGUAUUACUGUCUUACCUGCUUGUGCUGCGGAGGGAGAUAUGAUGACAGAGGCGGGGGCCAUGAGACGGACAGGGCCACUCCUAGCUCCAGUGUUGACCACGAGGGCCCCUGUCUGAUCGUAGUAGGCUGCAGGGGCCAGGACUGGGUAGCCUGAGAAACAGACAGCAACAGAGGAGUAUUCAGACAUCUCAAUGGAGCUCAGGGUCCAUUUCCAAAGGCACGUCUCACCUAGUGUAGCUGCUGCUGCUAGACCAGCUGCGUAGGGGUCUGUCCCUGGUGGAGCCGCACUGAUGAUGUACGGAUUGG